UCACACAAGGGACCCAAAUUAACCGUGAACGGCGUAAAGAGUGGACCCAUGGUUAUCAUAAUAAUUAAGGCCGAAAUGUAUCUGAGCUGUCAUAAGCCCAAGAUCCCCUUAAAGUCACCCUAAAGACGGCCUUAGUCUAUGAGAUUAAUUAAAUUCCACGAAAGCCAGGGUACAAACUGGGAUUAGAUACCCCACUAUGCCUGGCCCUAAAUCUAGAUGCUUGCCCCACUAAAGCAUCCGCCUGAGGACUACGAGCACAAACGCUUAAAACUCUAAGGACUUGGCGGUGCCCCAAACCCACCUAGAGGAGCCUGUUCUAUAAUCGACAACCCGCGAUACACCCGACCACUUUUUGCCAAAAACAGCCUACAUACCGCCGUCCCCAGCUCACCUCCUCUGAGAGAACAACAGUGAGCGUAAUUGCCCUAACCCCGCUAACAAGACAGGUCAAGGUAUAGCCUAUAAAGUGGAAGAAAUGGGCUACAUUUUCUAACCUAGAAAACCCCCUAUACGGAAAGGAAUAUGAAAUAACUCCUAGAAGGCGGAUUUAGCAGUAAAGUGGGAUAAUAAUGCCCUCUUUAAACCGGCUCUGAGGCACGUACAUACCGCCCGUCACCCUCCUCACAAGCUUCAACCCCAAUAAAUAAUCCAUUAACCCGCUAAAGAUGAGGUAAGUCGUAACAAGGUAAGUGUACCGG
rnacentral:rRNA from 1 species